UGGGGAAUAUUGCACAAUGGGCGCAAGCCUGAUGCAGCCAUGCCGCGUGUAUGAAGAGGCCUUCGGGUUGUAAGUACUUUCAGCGAGGAGGAAGGCAUUAAGGUUAAUAACCUUAGUGAUUGACGUUACUCGCAGAAGAAGCACCGGCUAACUCCGUGCCAGCAGCCGCGGUAAUACGGAGGGUGCAAGCGUUAAUCGGAAUUACUGGGCGUAAAGCGCACGCAGGCGGUCUGUUAAGUCAGAUGUGAAAUCCCCGGCUCAA
rnacentral:rRNA from 1 species